rnacentral:RNase_P_RNA from 1 species
AAAGCCGGUCAGACAACCGCUGCCACGCAAGUGGGAGAGGAAAGUCCGGGCUCCAUAGAGCAGGAUGCCGGCUAACGGCCGGACGCCGUGAGGCGAGGAAUAGGGCCACAGAGACGAGCGUAUUAAGUUACGGUGAAACGCGGUAACCUCCAUCCGGAGCAACACCAAAUAGGCAGGCGAUGAAGCGGCUCGCUGAGUCUGCGGGUAGGUGGCUGGAGCCGGUC